rnacentral:rRNA from 1 species
CCAACAGGGAUUGCCUUAGUAACGGCGAGUGAAGCGGCAACAGCUCAAAUUUGAAAUCUGGCCUAUGGUCCGAGUUGUAAUUUGCAGAGGAUGCUUCGGGCGCGGUGCCUUCCAAGUCCCCUGGAACGGGGCGCCGGAGAGGGUGAGAGCCCCGUACGGUUGGCGGCCAAGCCUGUGUGAAGCUCCUUCGACGAGUCGAGUAGUUUGGGAAUGCUGCUCUAAGCGGGAGGUAGACCCCUUCUAAAGCUAAAUACCGGCCAGAGACCGAUAGCGCACAAGUAGAGUGAUCGAAAGAUGAAAAGCACUUUGAAAAGAGGGUUAAACAGCACGUGAAAUUGUUGAAAGGGAAGCGCUUGUGACCAGACGUGCGCCGGGGUGUUCAGCGGGCGUUCUCGCCCGUGCACUCGCCCCGGUGCAGGCCAGCGUCGGUUUGGGUGGGGGGAUAAAGGCGUCUGGAAUGUGGCUCCUCCGGGAGUGUUAUAGCCAGACGUGCCAUGCCUCCGCCUGGACCGAGGUACGCGUUCUGCAAGGACGCUGGCGUAAUGGUCUCCAGCGACCCGUCUUGAAACACGGACCAAGGAGUCGAGGUUUUGCGCGAGUGUUUGGGUGGAAAACCCGCACGCGUAAUGAAAGUGAACGUAGGUGAGAGCUUCGGCGCAUCACCGACCGAUCCUGAUGUUUUCGGAUGGAUUUGAGUAAGAGCGUAGGGCCUCGGACCCGAAAGAUGGUGAACUAUGCUUGGAUAGGGUGAAGCCAGAGGAAACUCUGGUGGAGGCUCGCAGCGGUUCUGACGUGCAAAUCGAUCGUCAAAUCUGAGCAUGGGGGCGAAAGACUAAUCGAACCAU